rnacentral:tRNA from 1 species
UCCGUUGUAGUCUAGGUGGUUAGGAUACUCGGCUCCUUAUCCGAGAGACUCAGGUUAAAGUCCCGGCAACAGAA